UGUUGGCUUUUUUCUUAAAUAAAUGAAUUAUUAAAGGGAAAAUCUUAAUGGGGAGUCAUUCAUUCAACACCUUACCUCUGAGGUUGGAUGAGCUGCUAGUUCUGUUUCCUUUUGUUAUCAUAGGCCAGUGAGCAAAGAAGAUCUGGAUGAAGUUAAAAGUUGAUUUCAAGACACUCCUUCUGAGACCAAUAUGCUCUCCAUAAUCCUUUCAUUGCGUACAUUUUAUUAAAAUUGAUGAUUGACCAUUGCAAAGCAUCUCGAAGUUGUUGCCUUUGGUUUUUAUCUAGCAAAAGUUAAUGUGCUGCUCAGUAUUGACUUGAGUCCAGAAUCUGAUGCUUGAUAUCUAGCAGGCUACUUUGCUUUGCAUGCAAACUCUAGGAGAACAUGUAAAUGGAGGAUCAUGUGCUCGCCACCGUACAAUGGCGAUUAGAGUGGCUGCUAGCUCUGUGAUGUAGCAGAAUAGGCUUGAUACCAAGGAAGAGCUGGAUGAAGUUAAAAGUGAUUAAAAAACUAUAUUUUACGGGACUAGGUUUUAAAAAGGAACAAUCUGAUCCAAAUAAGCACACUCAAAUAGAUGGGAUAAGGCUUGGUGCAGAAGUUUUUGUUCUCUUAUAGAACUCUUGUUUUCUGUUAAAUGGCUCCUAUGCAGAGACCUAAGAUCCAAUUUUUGACCUUCUUUCCCAUUCA
rnacentral:lncRNA from 1 species